GACGAACGCUGGCGGCGUGCCUAACACAUGCAAGUCGAGCGGUAAGGCCCUUUCGGGGGUACACGAGCGGCGAACGGGUGAGUAACACGUGGGUGACCUGCCCUCAGCUCUGGGAUAAGCCUGGGAAACUGGGUCUAAUACUGGAUAUGACUCCACGGUGCAUGUCGUGGGGUGGAAAGCCUUGUGCGGCUGAGGAUGGGCCCGCGGCCUAUCAGCUUGUUGGUGGGGNGAUGGCCUACCAAGGCGACGACGGGUAGCCGGCCUGAGAGGGCGACCGGCCACACUGGGACUGAGACACGGCCCAGACUCCUACGGGAGGCAGCAGUGGGGAAUCUUGCGCAAUGGGCGAAAGCCUGACGCAGCGACGCCGCGUGA
rnacentral:rRNA from 1 species